UGAUGACCUGUGUCAAACCUGUUAUUCUUUUAAAUGUGGAAAGACGACUGAAUAGAACGCAUCGAAAGACGACAGACAUCCUCGCGGGUAGGAUUUCUGCUGGAGAGCUGGCAGGAGCUGGGAUAUGGCCAUGGGGUUGUGGUGUGUCAGCAGAAUCUCACUCUUCUCACCAACAGUGAAGGUGACUGUGUUGAGGUCGUAACAGGAGGACUUUAAAGCCAGAGCAUA